GAUGAACGCUGGCGGCGUGCCUAAUACAUGCAAGUCGAGCGAACUGAUUAGAAGCUUGCUUCUAAGACGUUAGCGGCGGACGGGUGGGUAACACGUGGGCAACCUGCCUGUAAGACUGGGAUAACUUCGGGAAACCGAAGCUAAUACCGGAUAGGAUCUUCUCCUUCAUGGGAGAUGAUUGAAAGAUGGUUUCGGCUAUCACUUACAGAUGGGCCCGCAGUGCAUUAGCUAGUUGGUGAGGUAACGGCUCACCAAGGCAACGAUGCAUAGCCGACCUGAGAGGGUGAUCGGCCACACUGGGACUGAGACACGGCCCAGACUCCUACGGGAGGCAGCAGUAGGGAAUCUUCCGCAAUGGACGAAAGUCUGACGGAACAACGCCGCGUGAGUGAUGAAGGCUUUCGGGUCGUAAAACUCUGUUGUUAGGGAAGAACAAGUACAAGAGUAACUGCUUGUACCUUGACGGUACCUAACCAGAAAGCCACGGCUAACUACGUGCCAGCCGCCGCGGUAAUAC
rnacentral:rRNA from 1 species